rnacentral:rRNA from 1 species
CAGCGUCUACGGGAGGCAGCAGUGAGGAAUAUUGGUCAAUGGUCGGGAGACUGAACCAGCCACGCCGCGUGAGGGAGGAAGGUACAGAGUAUCGUAAACCUCUUUUGUCAGGGAACAAAGGCGGGGACGUGUCCCCGGAUGAGAGUACCUGAAGAAAAAGCAUCGGCUAACUCCGUGCCAGCAGCCGCGGUAAUACGGAGGAUGCGAGCGUUAUCCGGAUUUAUUGGGUUUAAAGGGUGCGCAGGCGGUCUGUUAAGUCAGC